GUUGAGAUCAUUGGAAACGCCUCAUAGAGUAAAUAUAUGUUGCUUCCUUUAUUCACAGAACUGUGUGUUAGAUCUGUGGAAAGGAAUUACAAGACAGCU